ACCGGUUGGGCUUGUGGUUAGAGUGCCCGCCUCUGGAUCGGGAGGACGUGGGUUCUAAUCCCACCGGCGGCA
rnacentral:tRNA from 1 species